UACAGAGGUCUCAAGCGUUGUUCGGAUUCAUUGGGCGUAAAGGGUGCGUAGGUGGCGCGCUAAGUCAGGUGUGAAAUUUCGGAGCUUAACUCCGAAACUGCAUUUGAUACUGGUGUGCUUGAGGACUGGAGAGGAGACUGGAAUUCAUGGUGUAGCAGUGAAAUGCGUAGAGAUCAUGAGGAAGACCAGUGGCGAAGGCGGGUCUCUGGGCUGACACUGACGCUCAUGCACGAAAGCGUGGGGAGCAAACAGG
rnacentral:rRNA from 1 species